GACAGAGGAUGCAAGCGUUGUCCGGAAUUAUUGGGCGUAAAGAGCUCGUAGGCGGUUUGUCGCGUCUGCUGUGAAAACCCGAGGCUCAACCUCGGGCCUGCAGUGGGUACGGGCAGACUAGAGUGCAGUAGGGGAGAUUGGAAUUCCUGGUGUAGCGGUGGAAUGCGCAGAUAUCAGGAGGAACACCAAUGGCGAAGGCAGAUCUCUGGGCCGUAACUGACGCUGAGGAGCGAAAGCAUGGGGAGCGAACAGG
rnacentral:rRNA from 1 species